rnacentral:rRNA from 1 species
AUUGAACGCUGGCGGCAGGCUUAACACAUGCAAGUCGAGCGGAUGAAGCGAGCUUGCUCCUGGAUUCAGCGGCGGACGGGUGAGUAAUGCCUAGGAAUCUGCCUCGUUGUGGUUGAUAACGUCCGGAAACGGGCGCUACUACCGCAUACGUCCUGCGCGAGAAAGUGGGGGAUGUUCGGACCUCUCGCUAUCAGAUGAGCCUAGGUCGGGUGAGCUAGUUGGUGGGGUGUAGGCCUCCCACGGCGACGAUCCGUAACUGGUCGGAGAGGAGGAUCAGUCACGCGAGAACGUACGGACGGUCCAGACUCCUGAGGGAGGCCGCAGUGGGGAAUGUUGGACAAUGGGCGAAAGUCUGACACAGCGCGGCCGCGUGUGUGAAGAAGGUCUUCGGAGUGUAAAGCACUUUAAGGUGGGAGGAAGCGCAGUAAGUUAAUACCUUGCUGUUGUGACGGUACCAAGAGAAGAAGCACCGGCUAACUACGUG